UCUACAUGUUUCUGUUCUCUUACACAUUACAUUAAUAUCAUUCAAUAAGAUAUUGCUACAUUAUUUAAUUACCGGAGUUGCACCUUUCAAUGUCGAAAAAUAAGAUGAAAUAUUAUUCGUCUUUGUGAUUUCAUAUAUUUAUUAGGUUAUUUUAUGUACUUAGUAGACUCUUAUAUUUUUUGCCAUGUUCGUUUGUCGUUAUCCGUAGAUGAGUUUCUUCUUACACCGAUACAAAAUUCCAGAGGAAGAGAGGGUUCCGGCCCAGGUUUCGCAGGUGAGCAAUACCAAAUAUAUAUCACUUGUUCUCGACAAAUUAGAUGUGCAACAGAAGACUGUGUUCAAGGAAAGUUGUUCAGGACAUGUUGAGAAGUUGCUAUAGCUCAAAUUGUUUGGGAAAUUAGUUAAUGAAAUGGUUAAUAGAUCAGUCAUUUGUAGAAAAUGUUUUGAGGCUUGGUUCAAUGUGAAUGAACAAUUUGCAAGAUUUGGAAGGCCGGAGAUUACACUAAUUGCUAGCUUGAAAUGUGAUGAAUUGCCUAGAGGGUCUACUUCUGACAGCAUCGUAGAGAAAACUCGGCUAUGGGACAAAAUGUUUCCCAGUAAAGAACGAAUAACUUGUAGCGAUCUGGAGAAGGUUUUCCUAAAAUGUGGCAACCAUAACGAUUGUUACAAGCUUGAAUUGUCACUAAUCAUUGAAGGAGUUUUCAAUUCGAGAGAUCGAAAUGUGGGGAUUUAUAUGGUAACUCUCUCCAUUGUAGACGACUUAGAUUUCUUCAACGCCUAACCACGGGGGACUGUGUGCUUUAAACUUCUCGUCAAAUCACACUCCAUGGAUGGGAAAGAAAGGCAGACUUGGCAAGUUCAACGAUUGUGAUAGGAUGUCCAAUACGAUGUACGGAUGAUCUCUUACUAUUUAGUUGUGGGUGUAUAAUGCAAUCCCGGAGUUGGAAAGUCCAGAUAUAUGACUGUAGCAAUAAUGUUCACACAGCAGAUGCAGUUAAGGCAUACGCAAAAGCAACAUUCAGUUUGGUUCAAGCAUUAUUGUUGUCUUCAGUCCUUUCCACCAGACGAGAUAUGAAGAAACAUAUAAACAAACAAAUGAAGCAGGAAAUUAUAACUUAUCUACCAUGUGCGAACAAUGGGCCAAAUUGUGUAAUUUUUGUACUCAAAUAUAUAGAAUGCUUCGUUCUAAGGCAUCCAAUAGAAUCAGAUUCAUCAGACAGGAUGACUCUAUACAGAUGAAAGAUUGCGUAGAUCUUUGUUAUAAUGAAUUCUUUCUUCAUCCCCGUUUAUCUUGAUUGUAAUGAAUGAUUGUAGUGGAUAAGCAGGGUAUACUAACUCGAACAUGCCUUUGUUAAUUUAGUUAGGAUAAUUGUUUGUAGCUUUUAUUGGUAGAUAGUGAAAAAGUCAUAGUGGCAUGUUCACUUUAAUUACGUGACCGUUGAUUAGA